rnacentral:rRNA from 1 species
UACGAAAGGGGCAAGCGUUGUUCGGAUUUACUGGGCGUAAAGGGCACGCAGGCGGUCUUGCCAGUCAGGGGUGAAAGCCCGGGGCUCAACCCCGGAACUGCCUCUGAUACUGCAAGACUAGAGACUAGGAGAGGGUGGUGGAAUUCCCAGUGUAGAGGUGAAAUGCGUAGAUAUCGGGAGGAACACCAGUAGCGAAGGCGGCCAUCUGGCUGGUAACUGACGCUGAGGUGCGAGAGCGUGGGGAGCAAACAGG